rnacentral:lncRNA from 1 species
UUUACUUUCCCUUUUCUUUUUUUGUUUAUUUAUUUCUCUAAUAUUUAGCCUAUAGUUUAGGUACUAAAUGAUUUUAAUAAAUGUUGAAACUUUUCCCAUAAUUACUUUCCGAUAUUUUGGUGUUGCACAAAAAGUUCGAGGUUAAACGGAAAUGUUUGAAAUUAGGUUUAUAAUUAAUGGUCACAAUAAGUGAUGUUUGGCCACUUUAAAUUAUUUCUAGGGGCAAUUUAAAAAUGCAUUAAAUGUUGGUCCUUACAUGUUAAUUACUUAGUGAAUACUUGUAACUCAUCGAACAUUAUUAUUACGCCAUUUGAAAACUUUAAUUAUUUGACUUUAAUCUAAACUUGAAUUUGAAUCGGGUCAGGAUCAAAGUGAGGUUUAGCAAAUUUUUGUGAUGACAUGGUACCAUUAGCGUGCGGUUACUGUAGCUAAAUUAUCCGGGCGUCACAAUUCUCCUCCACUACAAGAAAUCUCGUCCCGAGAUUUAAGAGGGGAAGUGACGGGGAAGGGAUUUGGUUACGAAAUUCUAACGAGUGUUCUCGGUCUUGGUUGCUCUUCCUGAAGUAGUUGAUCCUCCUCGUUGAUGUCUUUAUUUCUCUGCUUCAGGUCAUCAUGGUGAAGUCGGCAUCCUUUCUUCAGAAACUCCAUCGUACUUACGAAAGAAUAAGGGGGGUAUUCCGGGAGAACGGACCUCUGCAAGGUUGAUUAUCUGGUAACUAACACCGGGGAAGGUGGCGGAAAGUAACUCUCGAACUAAAACUUAAGAAAAUAUCGAGAGCAAAGUCAGAAGGUACCAUGAUGAGUUUCAAGCCGGUAGGCAAUCGUUCGAUGCCUGUUACAGGGCGUGGAAGGGGUUCAAAGCAACGGGAAUAAGUAUUGUGUCUGAUACCAGAAUUGAUGAUCUCUCGGAAGGUGGCUCGUGAAUUACAUAUGAGGCCACGCGCGAGGAACAACCUUGGGAACAGGGGGUGUAUAGGAGAGUCAGGUUUCGAUCAUGUGGAACUGUGGGUUAUGGGCCCACCAUGUGUGUUAAAAGUAGGAAGGGUGAUGUCAUGUUGUAUGAUCAUGAUAGCGAGGCAUGCUGGAGAAUAGCCUGUUAGUUAUGUCGGCAACAACAUCGAUACCAAGGGCGAGGGAUGAAGAGAACCAUUUUCCUGCUCGUUAAACGAGGCGGACCAAUAGGCAAAGUUCUCGUCCAUCGGUGGCUACCGGAAUGUCAUCAACAAUAGUAACAGCGUCUUGCUGACAGAAUAGUACACCGAGGUGUUUUCAUAAUCAGGAGAAUAUCAUAGAUCCGUUAAGUCAAAUUACAAUAAAGCUUAAACAAGACAAUGGAAAGGAAAAUGCGAUUAUCAGGUUUAAACAGAACAAUGGAAAAGAAAAUGUGUAUACACACCUAUUUCAAGGUUAUAUCCUCCCCAAGGACAAGCAGAGCAUGACAUCCAUGACAGGAUAUAAUGUAGAAAACUCUUCAGGUAGGGGAGAGAAAUUUCAUGGCAUUACCCAUACAACGGUGUUUGGAUAAUUGAGCAGGAAACAUUUAGCAUUGGGCUUCAAAUGUUCCUGUUGAAAAUCAGAGUACCAUAGACAUGCUUCGAGAUAGCAUUGACAUGGUCAACAGGUGAGAUCAGGCUAUGGACACACAAAGGAUCCAUCAGGAACAAAAUAUAGAGUAAGUCUUACAAUUUCCUCAUGGAAAGAAUGGAUAACCUUGCUAAAAAUGAAAACUAUAACAAUAGGGCCGGAGGGCUAGGUAUGAGACCACCUUACCGGGUCAUAUAAAGACCAACGUUAUAACUCUUGGAAAUAUGUUCCAACCAUCAUAUCUGACCGAGAUUCAGAUCUGAUUGGUGUCAGGAUACCUCAGACUCAGGAUGUCUGAGAAUAAAAGUGCAACACAAAUUGAUGGGAUGACAUAGUAAGAUUCUCGGGAAAUGAACUAUGAAAGCAAGUUCCGAAACAAGAGUUCAUCAUUAAACCAAGGAGAGGGUUAGGAGGUGGCUGAUGGACUCAGCGACAUUACAUUGAGAUUUCCAAAAGAUGGAUUUCCACAAUUAUGUGAACAAGGAGAUAACAUUUGUUAGAUCAAAUGAUAUAAUGAUGUAUGCUCGAGGAUAUCAUACACAAUUUAAACAUUGGUUGAAAGGUGCACCCGACAUAUGGGCCUAGGUAGCAUGAUCAAUGUUAGAAUGGUGAUUCGAUAUCCACAACACAAAGAAUGUAACUAUCAUUCAUUAACUUACAAGCAAUAGGGUUGCUAGAAGUUUUGAUAUUAUUAUUAUUUUUACAUCACAGUCCAUUUGCCGGUAUUCCGGUUGGAACACGGGGACCAAGAAAAGAAUGGUGAUGGCGAGAAGCAUCACUUGCAUCAAUAACUCAUAAGAGGUGGUGAAAUUCUCAUGACAUACUUGACGUAAAAGAUGGUAAUACUCCAAGGUAGAACAUAUCAUAAGCUAGAUAGCAAGGAAAUCAAGGUACAACACAAAACACGAACAAGUUUGUGUUGAAUGGAAGGCAAUAAAAUGGUCGAUGAUAAAACAAAUCAUCGAGGGCAAGGAUGGUAUUUCUCAUCCAGAAUUCGAUAGAUAUCUUGGAAGAGCUCAGAAUGUUGAUGAUGUUCACGACACAUUUGUAGCGAGAAUUUAUGAAGAGGUAAUCGAUCGGCGAUGACAUCAAGUCAAAGGAAUGAUGAAGCGAAAAGUUGUUGGAACCAGGGGUACGACACAAACUCGAAAUCAAGCUUGCUGUUCAAGGCGAAAUGAUAUGACGAGGAAAAUCGACAUACGCUUAGCUCAUCGUCGAAAGUGGUGCUCCAGGAAUAAAGACCAGGUAGCACAGUUAAAAUCGGCACGAUAAUGACAUAGCCGAGCAGGCUAGGGAUGACGUGAUCGAGUACGAACUCAUAAACAAAGGAGAUUACUAAGAGUUGUUUAAUCGUGAUGCAGACUCGAUUCAGUUAUCGAUGUCCUUGAGUGUUUAAUAACUCGGAGCCCGUGAAAAAUUGGAAUCAAUGAGAAUGUAAUACUUGAUGGAGAACUCAUAAGAAGUUAUGCAGUUCCGUGAUAAUCUCGAGAUACCAGGGGGUAAUACUCGACGACAAACCAAAGUAGAGGUUGGACUGGGGUAUUGCUCUUACAGAAGACAAGUGCUUAAACUUGUACGAGAAAUGGUAUUUAAAGGAGAACAUGGUCGGAACCACGUCCACGGAUACCAGAUGAACUUAUUACAAGGGGAUAAUUAUUUUAAGAGAAGCUUCCAUGAUAAGGUAUACAUCGUGUCCAUGGGCAUGAACACAGGGUUCAAGGUCGACUCCCACUUGUUCAACACAUAACCUUUCAUUUACUUCUCAUUUUUCAAAGAAGUUGUAGUGUUGAAAUUUUAUCUGGCAAAAUACCAGAAGAGUAUGACUCAUGAAAACUUUCGAGUUCACACAUAUUAUGGAAGGCAUAGGUUCAACCCAUCAAGGCAUCUUAGGAACAUAUACCACAAACUUCGGAGUAAAUAUUACAAGCUCGAAAGAAGAGCAUUGUUCAAAAACAGAUGAUACAAUUUACCAAAAGGCAUUAUAUACCCAUGGAAAGGCUCACAAGGUUAUUCAAUAGGAAGGACACUGUCGGAUAAAAUCCAACAAAGGAACCGAUGGUCCACAAGGGAUCUGAUGUGAGCAUCGGUACUCAACCAGAGGAAGAAGAAUGCAAGGAGAUCUGAUUAUAGAAACAACUGACUAACUCAAAGUUCAAAUGCAAAAGAAUUAUGAUUUCCAAAUCAGGGGGUCAGAAGCAACGCUCUGAUCAAGGAUGGAUAAGUUGAGUAGGCUUAGGGGUACAAUCGAUGGCAAUUUGAUAGGUCGAGAUCCAGCUCAUGUUAAAAAUGAUGUCUGAGCCGGAAGGAUGAAUUCUAGGAUCUGAUUGAGGAUUGCGAGCAUUCGCAACAUAUUGAAUCAAUGGACUCAAAAAGAUAAUGACAAGGGAUGCCAAUAAGAUUUCGAGACUUAUGGGAUUAAUCAUAAUGCUAGUAAGCAAGAAUUUCAAGAGCAAUAGGCUCCUGAGGAUUUUUGGAAGAUCGAAUGGUAUUCUGAACACUUUUGUGAUAUACUUGAAUCCACUGGGGGUGAGCGGAUACUCGGUAAGUGCGAGAAUUAUCCGUAGGGGUAUUCAGGUGACAAAGAACAGCAAGGCAGUAAGCUCAAUGAUUCUCGGAACAACAGAGAUAAUUUCGGGGUAUCUUGUAAUAACAAGAUCAACUGGGAAACAUUGUAUGAAUGGCGAGUAUACGCGGUUAUCCAUAGGAGUUUAUCGAUGAAAGGGAAUUGCAAAAGCGAUGAACACAAGUUCUCGGGUUAUCAGCGGAGAGUAUCUUCAGGGUCUUCACGUGCAGCAGACGAUCAUCAGUAAUAAGGGGCUCUCCGGGUGAAAGUGAUAACGAGAUCCUAAUGUUAGAUUUAGCAAAAUUCACUUAACCCGAAUAGAAGAGAGAUCAGAGUCCCAGAGUAUAGACAAGGAGUAAAAGAUCCUAAUACCACCCAAUGGCGAUGUGGGCCCGUAAGCCGCACAACCAUGUUAGUAAAAGUUUUGCAAUGUCUAGACUCAACUUCGGCCAAGGAGUGUGGAAGGGGGAUUCCUACAGGUAGUUGGCUCUAAUACCAACUUGUGACGCCCCCGAUUUGACCGUACACUAAUCAUGCACGCAAAUGUGUACGAUCAAGAUCAGGGACUCACGGGAAGAUAUCACAACACAACUCUACAACAUAAGUAAGUCAUACAAGCAUCAUAAUACAAGCCAGGGGCCUCGAGGGCUCGAAUACAAGUGCUCGAUCAUAGACGAGUGAGCGGAAGCAACAAUAUCUGAGUAUAGACAUAAGUUAAACAAGUUUGCCUUAAGAAGGCUAGCACAAAAGUAGCAACGAUCGAAAAGGCAAGGCCUCCUGCCUGGGACCUCCUAACUACUCCUCGAAGCCGAACUCCAUGUAGAAUCAUCCUCGGGAUCUCUAGCUCCUGGACUCCAGCAUCUGGUUGCGACAAUCAGGUAUAGAAAGGGGAAAAGAGGGAGAAAAGCAACCGUGAGUACUCAUCCAAAGUACUCGCAAGCAAGGAGCUACACUACAUAUGCAUGGGUAUAUGUGUAAAGGGUCAUAUCAGUGGACUGAACUGCAGAAUGCCAGAAUAAGAGGGGGAGAGCUAAUCAUGUCGAAGACUAUGCUUCUGGCAGCCUCCAUCUUGCAACAUGUAGAAGAGAGUAGAUUGAAGUCCUCCAAGUAGCAUCGUAUAGCAUAAUCCUACCCGGCGAUCCCCUCCUCGUCGCCCUGUUAGAGAGCGAUCACCAGGUUAUAUCUAGCACUUGGAAGGGUGUGUUUUAUUAAGUAUCUAGUUUUAGUUGUCAUAAGGUCAAGGUACAACUCCGGGUCGUCCUUUUACCGAGGGACACGGCUAUUCGAAUAGAUAAGCUUCCCUGCAGGGGUGCACCACAUAACCCAACACGCUCGAUCCCAUUUGGCCGGACACACUUUUCUGGGUCAUGCCCGGCCGCGGAAGAUCAACACGUCGCAGCCCCACCUAGGCUCAACAGAGAGGUCAACACGCCGGUCUAAAUCCUAUGCGCGCAGGGGUCUGGGUCCAUCGCCCAUUGCACACCUGCACGUUGCGUACGCGGCCGGAAGCAGACCUAGCCUAGCAGGCGUUCUAGUCCAAUCCGGCGCGCGCCGCUCCGUCGCUGACGUCAAGAAGAGCUUCGGCUGAUACCACGACGUCGAGUGCCCAUAACUGUUCCCGCGUAGUUGGUUAGUGCGUAUAGACCAAAUGGCCAGACUCAGAUCAAAUACCAAGAUCUCGUUAAGCGUGUUAAGUAUCCGCGAACGCCGACCAGGGCCAGACCCACCUCUCUCCUAGGUGGUCUCAACCUGCCCUGUCGCUCCGCCAUAAAGUAACAGUCGGGGGCCGUCAGGAACCCAGGCCCACGUCUACCGGGAUGGAGCCACCUGUCCUUUCAGCCCCCUCAUCAGAAUCACUUGCGGGUACUCAACGAGCCGACCCGACUUUAGUCCCCACAUGUGUCAUGUAUAUAAAGUAUAUAGCAUAUACCCGUGAUCACCUCCCAAAGUGAUCACGGCCCAGAAGUAUAGCAUGGCAGACGGACAAGAGUGUAGGGCCACUGAUGGAACACUAGCAUCCUAUACUAAGCAGUAGAAUAGCAGGUAAGGGUAACAACUGUAGCAACAAUGACAGGCUAUGCAUCAGUAUAGGAUUAACCGAAAGUAGUAACACGCUACACUACUCUAAUGCAAGCAGUAUAGAGAAGAAUAGGCGAUAUCUGGUGAUCAAGGGGGGGGGCUUGCCUGGUUGCUCUGGCAAGUAGGGGUCGUCAACUCCGUAGUCGAACUGGGGGUCGCCGGUAGUCUCGGGGUCUACCGGAAAGAAGUAACGGAUGGGGAACACAAUAAAUAACAGAGCAGUCAAAACAACACAAAGCGUAACAUGACAAUACGCGGUGCUAGGUGUGCCCUAACGCAGUAGUAGGUGAUAUCGGCAAAGGGGGGAAACAUCCGGGAAAGUUUUCCCGAAGUUUGCAUUUUUCGGACAGAUGAAACGGAGGGGGAAAGUUGCAAGUUUGCUAUGCUAGGGACGUCUGGCGGACGAACGGACUGCGUAUUCGGAUUCGGCUUGUCGUUCUGAGCAGCUUUCAUGUAGAAAGUAUUUUCAUAUGAGCUACGGUUUAAAAGAUAUGAUUUUCUAAAGAUUUACUAAUUUCUGGAAUUUAAUUAAUCAUUUAAUUUAAUUCGAAAUUGGAUUUAUGACAUCAGCAUGAUGUCAUGCUGACAUCAGCAGUCAACAAGGGUUGACUAAGUCAAACUAACAUGUGGGACCCACCUGUCAUUGACUGAUUAAUUAAUUAACUAACAGUCUAAUUAGUUUAGUUAUUAGAUUAGUUUAAUUAAUCAAAAAUUAAUUAGGUUAAUUAAUUCUUUAAUUAAUUAAUUAUUUUUAAUAUAUUAUUUUUAUUUUUAUUUUUUAAAUCUUUUUUUAUUUUCGUUCUCACGGGCGUGGGCCCCGUUUGUCAUUGGCUCUGGGGGAGCCUAGCGGUUACGGGCGUGCGGGCGUGCGCCUGAGUCCACCCGGGAAGGGGGGCUAUGGGCGCUUGGGCGGGCGCUCGCCCGCAGGGAGUGCGGCGGGGCGAGGCCAGUGGCCAGGGCGGCCGCGGUGGCCGGCCGGCGUGGGGGAAAUGGAGUGCGGGACCGGCGACGAGCGGGCCCGCGUGCGGCAGGGGAGCCGGGGCGCGGUGGCGCACCAGCAGCAAGGAGACGUCGCAGCGGCAACGGCAGCGCAGCGGCAGAAAUAACUAAGCACGAGCAGCAGUAGCACAACGUAGCACAUAGAGAGCAGCUAGCAGGGCAUCAGCAAAGCAACGGGGCAGUAGCAGGAAGUAAGAGCAGCAGCGGCAUCAUGGGGGGAAUAUGUGAGGUGCUCACAUCGAAGCUCGUGGAGCGCUCGACGAGGGCGAAGAAGCAGCGGUGGCGUGGGAUCGACGACGAUGACCGGUGGGGCAGAGAGGGGAGACGAGGAUGAUCCGACGAGGUAGGGGUCCCGAGCUUGAUCCCAUGGGCGAAGACGACGAAGAGGAGGUCGGAGUAGCAGAUGGGCACGGUGGUGCGACGAAUGGAGGAUGCUGGCCGCGUCGGUUCGCGACGACGAGCAGCGGCCAGGCAAGGCGCUUGGGCGCGGGGACGAGCACGUGUGCGGGGUCGCGUGCGAGGCAUUGGAGCCGAGCGAGAGUCGAAGAAGAGGACCAGGGGCGCAGAGGCCCGAGGCGGUCGCCGGCGGCCAUGGGGAUCGGGGCGAGGAGCUCCUCUCCUGUGUGCGUGUGUGUGUGUGUUGUGUGGUGGCGGCGGGUGAGCGAGACGAGGGGAGAGGUGGGGAUCGUGCGGGGAAAGUUGGGUGAUGGCUAGGGUUAUAGGAGGGGUGGCUGGGCUGGGCUAACUUUAGUUAGGUGGUCCAAGUGGCCCAUUAGGUUAGGUCCUCCGUUUCUUUUCUUUUACUUUCCCUUUUCUUUUUCUUUUGUUUAUUUAUUUCUCUAAUAUUUAGCCUAUAGUUUAGGUACUAAAUGAUUUUAAUGAAUUUCGAAACUUUUCCCAUAAUUACUUUCCGAUAUUUUGGUGUUGCACAAAAAGUUCGAGGUUAAACGGAAAUGUUUGAAAUUAGGUUUAUAAUUAAUGGUCACAAUAAGUGAUGUUUGGCCACUUUAAAUUAUUUCUAGGGGCAAUUUAAAAAUGCAUUAAAUGUUGGUCCUUACAUGUUAAUUACUUAGUGAAUACUUGUAACUCAUCGAACAUUAUUAUUACGCCAUUUGAAAACUUUAAUUAUUUGACUUUAAUCUAAACUUGAAUUUGAAUCAGGUCAGUAUCAAAGUGAGGUUUAGCAAAUUUAAGUGUGUAGACCCUACGGGUUCGGGAAC